rnacentral:rRNA from 1 species
UACAGAGGGUGCGAGCGUUAAUCGGAAUUACUGGGCGUAAAGCGUGCGUAGACGGUUAUUUAAGUCGGAUGUGAAAGCCCCGGGCUCAACCUGGGAAUUGCAUUCGAGACUGAAUAGCUAGGGUACGGUAGAGGGAAGUGGAAUUUCCGGUGUAGCGGUGAAAUGCGUAGAUAUCGGAAGGAACACCGGUGGCGAAGGCGACAUCCUGGACCGGUAUUGACGCUGAGGCGCGAAAGCCAGGGGAGCAAACGGG